GGAUUAGGCAUGCAAGUCGAACGAGGGAGCAUUCCGAAAGGGAUGCAAACCGAGUGGCGUAAGGGUGAGUAAUGCAUUGAUAACCUACCUCCAAGAUGGGAAUAACAACGUUCCAAGCAAUUGGGGCUACCGAAAGGGUUGCUAAUACUCAAUAAAAUUAUUGUUGCUUCGGCAAUAAUAGUCAAAUAGGCGGAAUCGAGAGGUUCCGCUUGCUUGAAGAGGGGUCAAUGUCCUAUCAGCUAGUUGGUGGGGUAAUAGCCCACCAAGGCGAAGACGGGUAGCCGGCCUGAGAGGGUGGUCGGCCACACUGGGACUGAGAUACUGCCCAGACUCCUACGGGAGGCUGCAGUCGAGAAUCUUUCGCAAUGCCCGAAAGGGUGACGAAGCGACGCCGCGUGCGGGAGGAAGGCCUUCGGGUUGUAAACCGCUGUCGGGAGUUAAGAAAUGCAAGGAUGUUAAUAGCGUUCUUGCUUGACUAAGGCUCCGGAGGAAGCCACGGCUAACUCUGUGCCAGCAGCCGCGGUAAUACAGAGGCGGCAAGCGUUGUUCGGAAUUAUUGGGCGUAAAGAGCACGUAGGCGGCUGUGUAAGUCGGUUGUGAAAGCCUUCCGCUCAACGGAAGAACGGCAUCCGAUACUGCAUAGCUUGAGUGUGGGAGGGGAGAGUGGAACUUCUGGUGGAGCGGUGAAAUGCGUAGAUAUCAGAAGGAACACCGGCGGCGAAGGCGACUCUCUGGUCCAUAACUGACGCUGAGUGUGCGAAAGCUAGGGGAGCAAACGGGAUUAGAUACCCCGGUAGUCCUAGCCGUAAACGAUGGGCACUAAGUAGAGGGGUUUU
rnacentral:rRNA from 1 species